rnacentral:rRNA from 1 species
CCAACCGGGAUUGCCUUAGUAACGGCGAGUGAAGCGGCAAAAGCUCAAAUUUGAAAUCUGGUACCUUCGGUGCCCGAGUUGUAAUUUGGAGAGGGCAACUUUGGGGCCGUUCCUUGUCUAUGUUCCUUGGAACAGGACGUCAUAGAGGGUGAGAAUCCCGUGUGGCGAGGAGUGCGGUUCUUUGUAAAGUGCCUUCGAAGAGUCGAGUUGUUUGGGAAUGCAGCUCUAAGUGGGUGGUAAAUUCCAUCUAAAGCUAAAUAUUGGCGAGAGACCGAUAGCGAACAAGUACAGUGAUGGAAAGAUGAAAAGAACUUUGAAAAGAGAGUGAAAAAGUACGUGAAAUUGUUGAAAGGGAAGGGCAUUUGAUCAGACAUGGUGUUUUGUGCCCUCUGCUCCUUGUGGGUAGGGGAAUCUCGCAUUUCACUGGGCCAGCAUCAGUUUUGGUGGCAGGAUAAAUCCAUAGGAAUGUAGCUUGCCUCGGUAAGUAUUAUAGCCUGUGGGAAUACUGCCAGCUGGGACUGAGGACUGCGACGUAAGUCAAGGAUGCUGGCAUAAUGGUUAUAUGCCGCCCGUCUUGAAACACGGACCUCCUGUGUGAGGCACCCCCCCUAA